AAAUUGAAGAGUUUGAUCAUGGCUCAGAUUGAACGCUGGCGGCAGGCCUAACACAUGCAAGUCGAGCGGUAGCACAGAGAGCUUGCUCUCGGGUGACGAGCGGCGGACGGGUGAGUAAUGUCUGGGAAACUGCCUGAUGGAGGGGGAUAACUACUGGAAACGGUAGCUAAUACCGCAUAAUGUCGCAAGACCAAAGAGGGGGACCUUCGGGCCUCUUGCCAUCAGAUGUGCCCAGAUGGGAUUAGCUAGUAGGUGGGGUAACGGCUCACCUAGGCGACGAUCCCUAGCUGGUCUGAGAGGAUGACCAGCCACACUGGAACUGAGACACGGUCCAGACUCCUACGGGAGGCAGCAGUGGGGAAUAUUGCACAAUGGGCGCAAGCCUGAUG
rnacentral:rRNA from 1 species